rnacentral:rRNA from 11 species
UGAAGAGUUUGAUCAUGGCUCAGAUUGAACGCUGGCGGCAGGCUUAACACAUGCAAGUCGAACGAUGAAGCCCAGCUUGCUGGGUGGAUUAGUGGCGAACGGGUGAGUAACACGUGAGUAACCUGCCCUUGACUCUGGGAUAAGCGUUGGAAACGACGUCUAAUACCGGAUACGAGCUAGGACCGCAUGGUCACUAGUUGGAAAGAAUUUUGGUCAAGGAUGGACUCGCGGCCUAUCAGCUAGUUGGUGAGGUAACGGCCCACCAAGGCGACGACGGGUAGCCGGCCUGAGAGGGUGACCGGCCACACUGGGACUGAGACACGGCCCAGACUCCUA